GGCGGGGCUUGGAGCGCAGAGGCUGAGCUCAGCAGAAGCUGGUGUUGAGCUAAACGAGGAGCUGGUAUCAUGGCCGAAGCAGCGAAAAAAACGAAGAAAAUAAAAGUUUUAACGGAGCGGAGGAGGCGAAAAAAAGAAAGCGGGAGAGUAACAAGCUAAAUGCCCGGUGGAGAAUAAACAUUGGCCCGGCGUUCACUCGCUACAAGCCCUUGUAGCCGUCGUCUUGGACAAGAGAUGGUUGAAGGAUGUAAAGACGUUCAUCACCUCCAGGACUACAUCAGAUCUGGAAAACUUCCAGAAUCACAUCCUCAUGCAGGGAAGGUUCUCCUACACUCCAGCAGUGAAUCAUCAGGGAAGGUUCUCCUACACUCCAGCAGUGAAUCAUCAGG